rnacentral:lncRNA from 1 species
CUUUAUCACCCAAGCUCUUGUGUAUACUAGGCAAUCACUUAAUCCCACACGAGUCCUGGCUGUUUACCACAAGCCUCUGCAGGAGGAGAGGAGAGUUAACAACUUGUCUGAGAUGGGUAGAGAAAGAUUAGGAGCUAUUUUAGAGCAAGGUCUCCAAUAUAAGCUGAGUCUUCUGGGGAACAAUGGAAAAGCCCUAACAGUUGGCUGAGCACGAGGUGCUUAUGGAUAGAUAGUGACACCCUUCAAGUUGACCACUGCUGGGGAGGACGCGCAUACGUGUGGUGAGGGUACAAAGACACUGUGGACAUCCUGUGAGGUCCCGGCUUAAGCUGUGGGUCCUGACUAUGACAUCUGAAUGUGGGAGUCAGUCACAAAAAAUUUGACGAAGGUUUCUGAACUUUCUCUCGACUCCCAGAAAUUAAUUAAAACAUCAAAUGUAUAAUGAA